rnacentral:rRNA from 1 species
UCCAGACUCCUACGGGAGGCAGCAGUGGGGGAUAUUGCACAAUGGGGGGAACCCUGAUGCAGCGACGCCGCGUGGGUGAAGGAGCGUUUCGGCGCGUAAAGCCCUAUCGGCAGGGAAGAAGGAGGACGGUACCUGACUAAGAAGCCCCGGCUAACUACGUGCCAGCAGCCGCGGUAAUACGUAGGGGGCAAGCGUUAUCCGGAUUUACUGGGUGUAAAGGGGGCGCAGACGGCAGCGCAAGCCAGGAGUGAAAGCCCGGGGCCCAACCCCGGGACUGCUCUUGGAACUGCGCGGCUGGAGUGCAGGAGGGGCAGGCGGAAUUCCUGGUGUAGCGGUGAAAUGCGUAGAUAUCAGGAGGAACACCGGUGGCGAAGGCGGCCUGCUGGACUGCGACUGACGUUGAGGCCCGAAAGCGUGGGGAGCAAACAGGAUUAGAUACCCGAGUAUA